CAUGUGUGUGUGUGUGUGUGUGUGUGUGUGUGUGUACACACACACACACACACUUAUAUAUAUACAUAUA